UCUCGGGAGCUUUCCCCGG
rnacentral:snRNA from 1 species